AGAGUUUGAUCCUGGCUCAGAACGAACGCUGGCGGCAGGCUUAACACAUGCAAGUCGAACGCCCCGCAAGGGGAGUGGCAGACGGGUGAGUAACGCGUGGGAAUCUACCUAGUUCUACGGAACAACUGAGGGAAACUUCAGCUAAUACCGUAUACGCCCUAAGGGGGAAAGAUUUAUCGGAAUUAGAUGAGCCCGCGUAAGAUUAGCUAGUUGGUGGGGUAAUGGCCUACCAAGGCGACGAUCUUUAGCUGGUCUGAGAGGAUGAUCAGCCACACUGGGACUGAGACACGGCCCAGACUCCUACGGGAGGCAGCAGUGGGGAAUAUUGGACAAUGGGCGCAAGCCUGAUCCAGCCAUGCCGCGUGAGUGAUGAAGGCCUUAGGGUUGUAAAGCUCUUUCAGUGGGGAAGAUAAUGACGGUACCCACAGAAGAAGCCCCGGCUAACUUCGUGCCAGCAGCCGCGGUAAUACGAAGGGGGCUAGCGUUGUUCGGAUUUACUGGGCGUAAAGCGCACGUAGGCGGAUUGUUAAGUCAGGGGUGAAAUCCUGGAGCUCAACUCCAGAACUGCCUUUGAUACUGGCAAUCUAGAGUCCGGAAGAGGUGAGUGGAACUCCUAGUGUAGAGGUGGAAUUCGUAGAUAUUAGGGAGAACACCAGUGGCGAAGGCGGCUCACUGGUCCGGUACUGACGCUGAGGUGCGAAAGCGUGGGGAGCAAACAGGAUUAGAUACCCUAGUAGUCC
rnacentral:rRNA from 1 species